rnacentral:tRNA from 1 species
AUCUAUAUAGUAUAAAAAGUACAUUUGACUUCCAAUCAUAUAGUCUAUUAUUGAUAGUAUAGAUA